ACCAGCAGCCAUAUCACCCUGUAACUCACAACUGGCAGCCCACUGAAACUAAGCAGGUGUGAGCCUGGUCAGUACCUGGAUGGGAAACCCCCUGGAAAAAACUAAGGUUCCUGCUGGAA
rnacentral:rRNA from 1 species